rnacentral:rRNA from 1 species
GAUCGCCGUAGAGAUACGGUUUCUCCCUUGGGGCGCGUUCACAGGUGGUGCAUGGUUGUCGUCAGCAUCGUGUCGUGAGAUGUUGGGUUAAGUGUCGCAACGAGCGCAACCCUCGUUCCAUGUUGCCAGCACGUCGUGGUGGGGACUCAUGGGAGACUGCCGGGGUCAACUCGGAGGAAGGUGAGGACGACGUCAAAUCAUCAUGCCCCUUAUGUCUUGGGCUUCACGCAUGCUACAAUGGCCGGUACAAUGGGUUGCGAUACUGUGAGGUGGAGCUAAUCCCAAAAAGCCGGUCUCAGUUCGGAUUGGGGUCUGCAACUCGACCCCAUGAAGUCGGAGUCGCUAGUAAUCGCAGAUCAGCAACGCUGCGGUGAAUACGUUCCCGGGCCUUGUACACACCGCCCGUCAAGUCACGAAAGUUGGUAACACCCGAAGCCGGUGGCCUAACCC